rnacentral:rRNA from 1 species
GACGAACGCUGGCGGCGUGCUUAACACAUGCAAGUCGAACGGAAAGGCCCUGCUUUUGUGGGGUGCUCGAGUGGCGAACGGGUGAGUAACACGUGAGUAACCUGCCCUUGACUUUGGGAUAACUUCAGGAAACUGGGGCUAAUACCGGAUAGGAGCUCCUGCUGCAUGGUGGGGGUUGGAAAGUUUCGGCGGUUGGGGAUGGACUCGCGGCUUAUCAGCUUGUUGGUGGGGUAGUGGCUUACCAAGGCUUUGACGGGUAGCCGGCCUGAGAGGGUGACCGGCCACAUUGGGACUGAGAUACGGCCCAGACUCCUACGGGAGGCAGCAGUGGGGAAUAUUGCACAAUGGGCGGAAGCCUGAUGCAGCAACGCCGCGUGCGGGAUGACGGCCUUCGGGUUGUAAACCGCUUUCGCCUGUGACGAAGCGUGAGUGACGGUAAUGGGUAAAGAAGCACCGGCUAACUACGUGCCAGCAGCCGCGGUGAUACGUAGGGUGCGAGCGUUGUCCGGAUUUAUUGGGCGUAAAGGGCUCGUAGGUGGUUGAUCGCGUCGGAAGUGUAAUCUUGGGGCUUAACCCUGAGCGUGCUUUCGAUACGGGUUGACUUGAGGAAGGUAGGGGAGAAUGGAAUUCCUGGUGGAGCGGUGGAAUGCGCAGAUAUCAGGAGGAACACCAGUGGCGAAGGCGGUUCUCUGGGCCUUUCCUGACGCUGAGGAGCGAAAGCGUGGGGAGCGAACAGGCUUAGAUACCCUGGUAGUCCACGCUGUAAACGGUGGGUACUAGGUGUGGGGUCCAUUCCACGGGUUCCGUGCCGUAGCUAGCGCUUUAAGUACCCCGCCUGGGGAGUACGGCCGCAAGGCUAAAGCUCAAAGGAAUUGACGGGGCCCCGCACAAGCGGCGGAGCAUGCGGAUUAAUUCGAUGCAACGCGUAGAACCUUACCUGGGUUUGACAUGGAUCGGGAGCGCUCAGAGAUGGGUGUGCCUCUUUUGGGGUCGGUUCACAGGUGGUGCAUGGCUGUCGUCAGCUCGUGUCGUGAGAUGUUGGGUUAAGUCCCGCAACGAGCGCAACCCUUGUUCACUGUUGCCAGCACGUUAUGGUGGGGACUCAGUGGAGACCGCCGGGGUCAACUCGGAGGAAGGUGGGGAUGACGUCAAGUCAUCAUGCCCCUUAUGUCCAGGGCUUCACGCAUGCUACAAUGGCUGGUACAGAGAGUGGCGAGCCUGUGAGGGUGAGCGAAUCUCGGAAAGCCGGUCUCAGUUCGGAUUGGGGUCUGCAACUCGACCUCAUGAAGUCGGAGUCGCUAGUAAUCGCAGAUCAGCAACGCUGCGGUGAAUACGUUCCCGGG